rnacentral:rRNA from 1 species
ACGGGAGGCAGCAGUGGGGAAUCUUCCGCAAUGGGCGAAAGCCUGACGGAGCAAUGCCGCGUGAGUGAUGAAGUUCUUCGGAGCGUAAAACUCUUUUGUUUGUGACGAACGUGUACCCUAUCAACAACGGGGGACAGUGACGGUAGCAAACGAAUAAGCCACGGCUAACUACGUGCCAGCAGCCGCGGUAAUACGUAGGUGGCGAGCGUUGUCCGGAAUUAUUGGGCGUAAAGCGCAUGUAGGCGGUUUCUUAAGUCUGGAGUGAAAAUGCGGGGCUUAACCCCGUAUGGCUCUGGAUACUGGGGGACUGGAGUGCAGGAGAGGAAAGGGGAAUUCCCAGUGUAGCGGUGAAAUGCGUAGAUAUUGGGAGGAACACCAGUGGCGAAGGCGCCUUUCUGGACUGUGUCUGACGCUGAGAUGCGAAAGCCAGGGGAGCAAACAGGAUUAGAUACCCUGGUA